ACCUCACAAUACUUAUAGAUGAAUCAAUGUGUCGUUGAUAGUGAACAUGGGUUCAUGCAUACGUUAGAGUUCAUUUAACAUGGACUUCAAUAUAUAGCACCUAUCUUUAUUGUCAUUGUCCAUCCACUCAUCAAGUAUGACUCGUUAACUAUGAGUUGGACAUAUUGUUAAUAUUAGAAUAACCUGAUAGAGAAUAUUACUUAAUUUUUUAAAAUUAAGAAUGAUUCUUAUAUUUAUGAGCUAGUCUAUGUAAGUGAUUUCGGUUAAUCGGUUGAUAUCUAAGAUUGGAGCUAGA
rnacentral:lncRNA from 1 species